AAUCAGAAUCAACAAAUUGAACUUUUUCCACCUCACUUGAUGGAGGUCCAGAAGCCUGUUUGUCAAAUUUCCUAUUGUUGAUGUUCUCAUUUUGCACUUUCGCUUUAGGAGAGGCUACUUCAUUUUGAGUAGUGUUUGCCUUGGAACUACCAUUAGAAUCAGUUGGUUUGGCAUUCCUAAAGUCAUCACCACUCACGGCUUCUUUCUGCUUUGAUGUAUCAUCUUCAGCUGAUUGGUUAGCCCGUACCUUCUUCCGAGGGUUUGCCAAAUCAUUCUCGUCGUCACUUGCACCUUCAUUGUAGGAUACAUGCUGCCGUAGGCGAGACGAUCUCCUAGGUCCGAAACCAUCAAAUUCAGAAUCUUCUCCAACCGGUGGAUAGCUACCAGACUCGAUGUCCGCAGUUUCAGGCUCAGUGCUGGUUGAAGCAUUAAUGCUCUCACUUGAUUCAACUGUCUGCUUCCUACUCCUUUUCCUAUUAUUUAUAUUAACCUUCGGCGCAGCAGCCCCUUCAUUUGUAUCGCCCAUUUCCUUGUCAUACUUUUCAGCCUUCCUUUUAGCCUUAAAAUCCUCAAAUACCGGAGCAGUAUUUUCUCUCCGUACCUCUGGUUGUGAACCCAUUGUUUUACUGCUAGGACCCUGUUGAGAUCCCAUUUGGGCAGGUGUAAACCCAGCUCCGGCUGCCAUUCUUGAGGUUCCCUGGUUGGAAGCCUCUUUCUGCUGAUAAGGUUGGCUCGUAUUUGACCUAAGCGGCACAUCCUGACUGCCAGGAUAAUUCCAUUUAGGUCCAGGUCCAGGAGGAGCACCUUGAGAACCUAAAUCAUAUGCAAUG
rnacentral:misc_RNA from 1 species